rnacentral:rRNA from 5 species
AGAGUUUGAUCAUGGCUCAGAUUGAACGCUGGCGGCAGGCCUAACACAUGCAAGUCGAGCGGUAACACAGAGAGCUUGCUCUCGGGUGACGAGCGGCGGACGGGUGAGUAAUGUCUGGGAAACUGCCUGAUGGAGGGGGAUAACUACUGGAAACGGUAGCUAAUACCGCAUAACGUCGCAAGACCAAAGUGGGGGACCUUCGGGCCUCAUGCCAUCAGAUGUGCCCAGAUGGGAUUAGCUAGUAGGUGGGGUAAUGGCUCACCUAGGCGACGAUCCCUAGCUGGUCUGAGAGGAUGACCAGCCACACUGGAACUGAGACACGGUCCAGACUCCUACGGGAGGCAGCAGUGGGGAAUAUUGCACAAUGGGCGCAAGCCUGAUGCAGCCAUGCCGCGUGUAUGAAGAAGGCCUUCGGGUUGUAAAGUACUUUCAGCGAGGAGGAAGGCGUUAAGGUUAAUAACCUUGGCGAUUGACGUUACUCGCAGAAGAAGCACCGGCUAACUCCGUGCCAGCAGCCGCGGUAAUACGGAGGGUGCAAGCGUUAAUCGGAAUUACUGGGCGUAAAGCGCACGCAGGCGGUCUGUCAAGUCGGAUGUGAAAUCCCCGGGCUCAACCUGGGAACUGCAUUCGAAACUGGCAGGCUAGAGUCUUGUAGAGGGGGGUAGAAUUCCAGGUGUAGCGGUGAAAUGCGUAGAGAUCUGGAGGAAUACCGGUGGCGAAGGCGGCCCCCUGGACAAAGACUGACGCUCAGGUGCGAAAGCGUGGGGAGCAAACAGGAUUAGAUACCCUGGUAGUCCACGCCGUAAACGAUGUCGACUUGGAGGUUGUGCCCUUGAGGCGUGGCUUCCGGAGCUAACGCGUUAAGUCGACCGCCUGGGGAGUACGGCCGCAAGGUUAAAACUCAAAUGAAUUGACGGGGGCCCGCACAAGCGGUGGAGCAUGUGGUUUAAUUCGAUGCAACGCGAAGAACCUUACCUACUCUUGACAUCCAGAGAACUUAGCAGAGAUGCUUUGGUGCCUUCGGGAACUCUGAGACAGGUGCUGCAUGGCUGUCGUCAGCUCGUGUUGUGAAAUGUUGGGUUAAGUCCCGCAACGAGCGCAACCCUUAUCCUUUGUUGCCAGCGAUUCGGUCGGGAACUCAAAGGAGACUGCCAGUGAUAAACUGGAGGAAGGUGGGGAUGACGUCAAGUCAUCAUGGCCCUUACGAGUAGGGCUACACACGUGCUACAAUGGCAUAUACAAAGAGAAGCGACCUCGCGAGAGCAAGCGGACCUCAUAAAGUAUGUCGUAGUCCGGAUUGGAGUCUGCAACUCGACUCCAUGAAGUCGGAAUCGCUAGUAAUCGUAGAUCAGAAUGCUACGGUGAAUACGUUCCCGGGCCUUGUACACACCGCCCGUCACACCAUGGGAGUGGGUUGCAAAAGAAGUAGGUAGCUUAACCUUCGGGAGGGCGCUUACCACUUUGUGAUUCAUGACUGGGGUGAAGUCGUAACAAGGUAACCGUAGGGGAACCUGCGGUUGGAUCACCU